rnacentral:rRNA from 1 species
GAUUCGUCACACUAUCAUUAACUGAAUCCAUAGGUUAAUGAGGCGAACCGGGGGAACUGAAACAUCUAAGUACCCCGAGGAAAAGAAAUCAACCGAGAUUCCCCCAGUAGCGGCGAGCGAACGGGGAGGAGCCCAGAGCCUGAAUCAGCAUGUGUGUUAGUGGAAGCGUCUGGAAAGGCGCGCGAUACAGGGUGACAGCCCCGUACACAAAAGCGCAUGUGCUGUGAGCUCGAUGAGUAGGGCGGGACACGUGGUAUCCUGUCUGAAUAUGGGGGGACCAUCCUCCAAGGCUAAAUACUCCUGACUGACCGAUAGUGAACCAGUACCGUGAGGGAAAGGCGAAAAGAACCCCGGCGAGGGGAGUGAAAAAGAACCUGAAACCGUGUACGUACAAGCAGUGGGAGCCCCACCACCAAAGCAUUCUCUGGUGUUGAAGGCCCUGCAAAGCAGCAUCGCGGUGGCGGAGCGUCGUUUGCGACGCCCAACACACAAAACAAGCGGUGAAUGCUUUGGGGUGGGGUGACUGCGUACCUUUUGUAUAAUGGGUCAGCGACUUAUAUUCUGUAGCA